AUACGGAAGGUCCGGGCGUUAUCCGGAUUUAUUGGGUUUAAAGGGAGCGCAGGCGGAGAUGCAAGCGUGACGUCAAAUUUCGGGGCUCAACCCCGUCUCGCGUCGCGAACUGCGUCCCUUGGUUGCGGGAAGGGGAGGCGGAACUCGUGGUGUAGCGGUGAAAUGCAUAGAUAUCACGAAGAACUCCGAUCGCGAAGGCAGCCUUCCGGCCCGUCAACGACGCUCAUGCUCGAAGGUUCGGGUAUCAAACAGGAUUAGAUGCCCUGGUAGUCCGCACAGUAAACGAUGGACACCCGCGGUUUGGCCUGUAUGGCUGAGCCGCCAAGCGAAAGCGUUAAGUGUCCCACCUGGGGAGUACGCCGGCAACGGUGAAACUCAAAGGAAUUGACGGGU
rnacentral:rRNA from 1 species